rnacentral:lncRNA from 1 species
CACCAGGUGGAAAGAAAAGGCCUUGCCGCUUUACCCAGAGCCGCAGAAUCCUCUCAUGGCUUUUUUUCGCCGGAAACCCCCUAGGCGAUUAGGCGACUCGCGCGUAUCUGCUGAUGGCCCUCGCCGCGGCUGCUCGACGUCGAAAACGCGCGCGCGCGCAGAGAGUUCUUCGCUAGAGCCACGUUUGUGCAGGGACGCGAAAACAACACGGCCGGUCUUAGGCGCUUCGCCAGCGCGCUCUCCAGGUGGAGACAUGUGGACCAGGUGUUUUCGGGCGACUGGAGCGCGAGCUCUGGAUGCGGCAGGUGAUGAGAGAGAGCGCCCUGUGCGUUUUCUCUCGCAGUUUCUCUUGGGGAGACCCGUAACAACGUUCGGAUUCAGCUUCGUGCUCCAGGCCUCCCCACGAGUCAGAGAGCGGCGAAACCUUUCAAGGAAAAACAGGUGAACUUCUCUCUGCUAAACGUGCCUGGAACCGCCGCUGCUGGACGCACGUGGCCCAAAAGAUGCCUGGCGACGGACGCGUCUACAGAGACACAGGUAGCUGCGGUUCCUCGAGGGACAGUCUUGAUCGUUUUGUUUUUCGCGUAACUUAUAGCUGGUCCGAAACAACGAAAACGUCGGAGAGAGCCAAGGUCGCGUACGCAUCCUGCCGUGCAUCCACAACGAACCACAUUGGAGAAAGGAGGUUUGUAAUCACUGCAUCACCGCAGAAACUGCUUUCUCCCCAUGGUAGUACAUAUCCGAGGAAGGAGACUCAUGGAUAUACUGAGUGUUCUCGAAACCAUGCUCACACACUAGAACUUUUUGGAUCCGGUAUUUUCCUUCUAGGACUCUCAGAGCUGGAGCCCUGUCGAGAGAGCGCUCACACUGACUGAAAGUCCUCCUACGGGCGACAGAUGCGCCUGCAACCACCAGGGAGAUGCAAAAACGUCUCUGCGCUGUUCUUUGGCGUUCCUGCCUUCAGCGUUUCCAGUUGAGGUAGUGCCUGCAGGUAGCCUGCAAAACCAUCGGC